rnacentral:rRNA from 1 species
GAGUUUGAUCGUGGCUCAGAUUGAACGCUGGCGGCAGGCCUAACACAUGCAAGUCGAGCGGAUGAAGGGAGCUUGCUCCUGGAUUCAGCGGCGGACGGGUGAGUAAUGCCUAGGAGUCUGCCUGGUAGUGGGGAUAACGUCCGGAAACGGGCGCUAAUACCGCAUACGUCCUGAGGGAGAAAGUGGGGAUCUUCGGACCUCACGCUAUCAGAUGAGCCUAGGUCGGAUUAGCUAGUUGGUGGGGUAAAGGCCUACCAAGGCGACGAUCCGUAACUGGUCUGAGAGGAUGAUCAGUCACACUGGAACUGAGACACGGUCCAGACUCCUACGGGAGGCAGCAGUGGGGAAUAUUGGACAAUGAGCGAAAGCCUGAUCCAGCCAUGCCGCGUGUGUGAAGAAGGUCUUCGGAUUGUAAAGCACUUUAAGUUGGAGGAAGGGCAGUAAGUUAAUACCUUGCUGUUUGACGUUACCAACAGAAUAAGCACCGGCUAACUUCGUGCCAGCCGCCGCGGU